GAUGAACGCUGGCGGCGUGCCUAAUACAUGCAAGUCGAGCGAACGGACGAGAAGCUUGCUUCUCUGAUGUUAGCGGCGGACGGGUGAGUAACACGUGGAUAACCUACCUAUAAGACUGGGAUAACUUCGGGGAACCGUAGCUAAUACCGGAUAAUAUUUUGAACCGCAUGGUUCAAAAGUGAAAGACGGUCUUGCUGUCACUUAUUGAUGGAUCCGCGCUGCAUUAGCUAGUUGGUAAGGUAACGGCUUACCAAGGCAACGAUGCAUAGCCGACCUGAGAGGGUGAUCGGCCACACUGGAACUGAGACACGGUCCAGACUCCUACGGGAGGCAGCAGUAGGGAAUCUUCCGCAAUGGGCGAAAGCCUGACGGAGCAACGCCGCGUGAGUGAUGAAGGUCUUCGGAUCGUAAAACUCUGUUAUUAGGGAAGAACAUAUGUGUAAGUAACUGUGCACAUCUUGACGGUACCUAAUCAGAAAGCCACGGCUAACUACGUG
rnacentral:rRNA from 1 species